GUUUUGUUGGCCUUCUCUGCAUUCCCAGCUAACUUCUUUGCCUUAUCCCUUCUCUCCUCAUUACAAAUUGGUGUUGAUCCAAAAGAUCUCGAAAAGGUGUUUAUACAGCUUACACUUGAGUUUCUGUCAGAGCAGUCUUCAAUUAUGACAAUGAGGCCUGGGAAGGAAGACAUUAGAACCAUAACAAGGAUGCCCACUCUGCGGUAAUGAUCUAAAGCUUGAGAAGCAACUUAAAUGAGUUUUGGAGUGGGAUCUUAGAGCUCGAGAAGCAAGUGCUAUGGAUUACCUCCUUUCAGCAUAUGAGCUACCAAGUUUGAUUCAUGGGUCUAGCUAGCAGCUAGGAAUAAUGCUUUUGAUUCAUGUGUAAGAAGUAGCUAGGAAGGCUUUCUUGUUUGGUACAUUAUCUAAUAACUUGAAUGUUUGGAAGUUUGAAAAACUUAUAUGAUAUGGAUUAGUGUGUUUUUAUGUGGUAAUAUGGAGCAUUAUUUAUGAAAA